CUCAAUACGCAGUUUUUUGCUAGUGUUACGUCUUCAGGCAACGACCAAUUGACAACAAGUAGUGCAAUUGCCCCAAUUCCUGUGCUGUCAUCAUCGUCAUCCAUGGGUUCACCACUGUUUUGGAUUGGAGUUGGAGUUGGUCUGUCAGUCAUUUUUCAAGUGGUUGCAAAUAGAUUAAAGGUGAGUCCCUUUGCAGCUUGUACCCUUUUACACUGUCCAGGUCUCUUUUGGAAAUAACAAGAUGAUCUUCCUAUCCUUAGAAAGGUUUUGCACAUUCUUGGCUUCCUUUUGUUAGUGCUUUGUAUAUCGUGAAUAAGAAAAUGCUCAUAUCAUAGGGCAGUUAUAUCAUGAAAUAGGUUGGGAUGAUAUGUUCAUCUUUAAAGGGCACUAAUAUAUUUUAUGGUUGGAAGAGUUCAAUCAGAUAGAGGUAGACCUCAAUGAAUUUUAAUCUUCUUAAUGGAUUUGAAUAUUACUAGUGAUACGCUAAAAGUGAUAUGCUUUAGCGUAGAGCUCAAUGAAGUGAGAAGAUUCAGAAGAUAGCCUUGUUUGGUUGUUGAAAAAAUGUCUAUUAGUUUUUCCCACUUUUUUUCAUCAAAGAGAAGAGAUAUUGUUAGAGGUUUCUCACUAUUAGUUAACUGUUUUCUUUUUUUCUGAAUUAACUUUGGGCACAAUGUUUGAAUCUCCAGUUUAUUGCCUAUGAUUAUUGAACCUGCAAAGUAGUAAAUAACUAAUGGAAAAAUGAAUUAUUUUUUGAAAUGUGAUUAUUGUACUUGCAAACCAGUAAAUAUCACUGAAAAACAUUUUUAUUUCAUUACAAUUUCAAAUUGUCUUCUAAAUUAUUCU